rnacentral:rRNA from 1 species
UACGAAGGGGGCUAGCGUUGCUCGGAAUUACUGGGCGUAAAGGGCUCGUAGGCGGCCAACUAAGUCGGACGUGAAAUCCCCAAGCUCAACCUGGGAACUGCGUCCGAUACUGGAUGGCUUGAAUUCGGGAGAGGGAUGCAGAAUUCCAGGUGUAGCGGUGAAAUGCGUAGAUAUCUGGAGGAAUACCGGUGGCGAAGGCGGCAUCCUGGACCGACAUUGACGCUGAGGAGCGAAAGCUAGGGGAGCAAACGGG